GAUGAACGCUAGCGGGAGGCUUAACACAUGCAAGUCGAGGGGCAGCAUAGGGUAGCAAUACUCUGAUGGCGACCGGCAAACGGGUGAGUAACGCGUAUGCAACCUACCCUGUACAGGGGGAUAACCCGGAGAAAUUCGGACUAAUAUCCCGUAAUAAUAUCCGGAGGCAUCUUUGGAUAUUUAAAGUUCCGACGGUACGGGAUGGGCAUGCGUAACAUUAGCUGGUUGGUAAGGUAACGGCUUACCAAGGCUAUGAUGUUUAGGGGUCCUGAGAGGGUGGUCCCCCACACUGGUACUGAGACACGGACCAGACUCCUACGGGAGGCAGCAGUGAGGAAUAUUGGUCAAUGGGCGCAAGCCUGAACCAGCCAUCCCGCGUGCAGGAAGACGGCCCUAUGGGUUGUAAACUGCUUUUCCAGGGAGAGAAACUUACGCACGUGUUGCGUGACUGACGGUACCCUGGAUAAGCAUCGGCUAACUCCGUGCCAGCAGCCCGCGGUAAUCACGAG
rnacentral:rRNA from 1 species